rnacentral:misc_RNA from 1 species
GCCACAGAGAUUCUGUAAUAUCUUUAUCUCCCUCUUUAUCUUCUUCUUCUUGACAGGCUUAAGAAUCUUGAUAAUGCAUUUUUCAUUGUUGGUGAUAUUUAUUCCUUCAAAUACCUCACUGUACUUUCCUCUUCCAACUUUCCGGACGACCUCAUAAUCAUCUUGACCACUCCAUUGGACAGCAAGAGAUUCGUAGUCCCAGUAAUCCCUAGGGCGGUGAACAUUGACGUCGGCGUAAACUCGGGACCUGGACAUGGCUGGAGAGGAAGGGAGGGAGGUUGAUCAGGAAGCAACCGGAGAGAGGAAGGGUGCGGUGGCGCGGAAGAUCAAUAAAUCUGAGGGAGAGUUGGUAAAACCAGCCGUCC